GACGAACGCUGGCGGCGUGCUUAACACAUGCAAGUCGAACGGUGAAGCGCCUUCCUUUUUGGUGGGUGUGGAUGAGUGGCGAACGGGUGAGUAACACGUGAGUAACCUGCCCCCUUCUUCUGGAUAACCGCAUGAAAGUGUGGCUAAUACGGGAUAUUCUGGGUCUGUCGCAUGAUGGGUCUGGGAAAGAUAUUGUUUCGGUGGGGGAUGGGCUCGCGGCCUAUCAGCUUGUUGGUGGGGUGAUGGCCUACCAAGGCGGGGACGGGUAGCCGGCCUGGGAGGGUGGACGGUCACACUGGGACUGAGACACGGCCCAGACUCCUACGGGAGGCAGCAGUGGGGAAUAUUGCACAAUGGGCGCAAGCCUGAUGCAGCGACGCCGCGUGAGGGAUGGAGGCCUUCGGGUUGUGAACCUCUUUCGCCAGUGAAGCAGGCCUGCCUCGUUUGUGGGUGGGUUGACGGUAGCUGGAUAAGAAGCGCCGGCUAACUACGUG
rnacentral:rRNA from 1 species